AUUGAACGCUGGCGGCAUGCCUUACACAUGCAAGUCGAACGGCAGCACGGGAGCAAUCCUGGUGGCGAGUGGCGAACGGGUGAGUAAUAUAUCGGAACGUGCCCAGUCGUGGGGAUAACGUAGCGAAAGCUACGCUAAUACCGCAUACGAUCUAUGGAUGAAAGCGGGGGAUCGCAAGACCUCGCGCGAUUGGAGCGGCCGAUAUCAGAUUAGGUAGUUGGUGAGGUAAAGGCUCACCAAGCCGACGAUCUGUAGCUGGUCUGAGAGGACGACCAGCCACACUGGGACUGAGACACGGCCCAGACUCCUACGGGAGGCAGCAGUGGGGAAUUUUGGACAAUGGGCGAAAGCCUGAUCCAGCCAUGCCGCGUGUGUGAAGAAGGCUUCGGAUUGUAAACUGCUUUUGUACGGUAACGAAACGGUGAGCUCUAAUACAGUUUGCUAAUGACGGU
rnacentral:rRNA from 1 species